rnacentral:rRNA from 1 species
UAAGGAAUCUUCCACAAUGGACGCAAGUCUGAUGGAGCAACGCCGCGUGAGUGAAGAAGGUCUUCGGAUCGUAAAGCUCUGUUGUUGGUGAAGAAGGAUAGAGGCAGUAACUGGUCUUUAUUUGACGGUAAUCAACCAGAAAGUCACGGCUAACUACGUGCCAC